rnacentral:rRNA from 1 species
AUUGAACGCUGGCGGCAUGCCUUACACAUGCAAGUCGAACGGCAGCGGACCUUCGGGUGCCGGCGAGUGGCGAACGGGUGAGUAAUAUAUCGGAACGUACCUUUCAGUGGGGGAGUAACGUAGCGAAAGUUACGCUAAUACCGCAUAUUCUGUGAGCAGGAAAGCAGGGGAUCGCAAGACCUUGCGCUGAUUGAGCGGCCGAUAUCAGAUUAGCUAGUUGGUGAGGUAAAGGCUCACCAAGGCGACGAUCUGUAGCGGGUCUGAGAGGAUGAUCCGCCACACUGGAACUGAGACACGGUCCAGACUCCUACGGGAGGCAGCAGUGGGGGAAUUUUGGACAAUGGGCGCAAGCCUGAUCCAGCCAUGCCGCGUGAGUGAAGAAGGCC